GACAGAGGUGCCGAGCGUUAGGCGGAAUCACUGGGCUUAAAGCGUGUGUAGGCGGAUCGUUAAGUACCUUGUGAAAUCCCACGGCUUAACCGUGGAACUGCUGGGUAUACUGGCGAUCUUGAGCCACCUAGGGGCAACCGGAACAAGUGGUGGAGCGGUGAAAUGCGUAGAUAUCAUUUGGAACGCCAAUGGUGAAAACAGGUUGCUGGGGGUGUGCUGACGCUGAGACACGAAAGCCAGGGGAGCGAACGGG
rnacentral:rRNA from 1 species